rnacentral:rRNA from 1 species
AUCGCCUAUAUGAAGUCGGAAUUGCUAGUAAUCGCAGAUCAGCAUGCUGCGGUGAAUACGUUCCCGGGCCUUGUACACACCGCCCGUCACACCAUGAGAGUCGAUAACACCCGAAGCCUGUAGUCUAACCAUAAGGAGGACGCAGUCGAAGGUGGGAUUGAUAAUUAGGGUGAAGUCGUAACAAGGUAGC